AGUAGUAAUAUUGACAGGGCGUGUUGUUUAGAGAGUUAUCAAGGCGUUAACCGCUUUACGGGAUAAACUUCAUUCACACAAGCAGGAAGAUUUGAAUCUGUGGCGAGUCUGACGCUCUGGAUAGAAGUGGGCGUGGCCAGCGGCGCCGGACAGACUCAACGCAGGCUCCACUCCAUGAAUGAGUCAAGUCCACGACGAGCUGAGGGGGGAGAGACAGACUAAUUCAAACUCAAACAACGAGGAAGACGAAGCUUCUUAGGUUAUUUAUUCGCAGUUUUGUGCAAAAGCUCAUACCUAAAAGUCUCAAGUUAGUCAUUUUAACCGAAGUUACACGGUCACAGUCCGAGGGCUCAGUACUCCUCCACUAGAAUAAUCGGUCACCAGAGAAAGACCUGAUCAGCCACAGCUGCCUAACAAAACUGAGGACCAGGUCAUCUCAGGUAUCCAUGUUUUGGAUCCCUAUGCUGCAAUUCUUUUUUUGAUGUCUGUCUAUACAUAUCUAAAGAUAUCUAGUCAGAUCAGGUCUAUAAUUAUUUGGACAGUGAUACAAUUUUUGUAAUUCUGCCUCUGUACACCACCACAAUGGAUUUGAAAUGAAGCAAAUCAAGAUGCGAUUGAAGUGUAGACUUUCAGCUUUAAUUCAAGGGGGUUAGCAAAAAUAUUGCAUUAACUGUUCAAGAAUCCCUCAAUUUUUACAGGCUCAAAAGUAAUUGGACAAUCGACUGAUUCAUGACCAGGUGUGGCCUGUUGCCUCAUUAUUUCAUGACAAAUAAAGGAGAUAAAAGGUUCUGCGAUGGACUGGCACCCUGUCCAGGGUGUACCCCGCCUCGUGCCCGAUGCUCCCUGGGAUAGGCUCCAGGUUCACCCGUGACCCUGAAGAAGGAGUAAGCGGUAGAAGAUGGAUGGAUGGAUAAAGGAGAUAAAAGGUCUGGAGUUGAAUCCAAGCACUGAAUUUGCACAGUAAAGAUGGAUAAUGACCCAAAACAUACAGUGAAAGCAACUCAAGAGCUUCUUAAGGCAAAGAAAUUAAAUGUUCUUAAAUGUCCAAUGACCUCAACCCAGUUGAGCAUGCUUUUCACUUACUGAAGUCAAAACUGAAGGCAGAUGCAGUAAAGGCCUGGCAAAGCAUCUCAAGGGAGGAAACUCAGCAUUUAGUAAUGUCCUUGGGUUCCAGAUUUCAGGCAGUCAUUGACUGCAAAAGGAUUUCCAUCAAACUAUUACAAAUAAUCCUAAUAUUUUGAUUGUCCAUUUACUUUUGAGCGUGUGAAAAUGGAGAGAGUCUGCAAAAAUGGCUGUAGUUUCUAAAAGGUAACUGCACUGUUUUUGUUCAAGCUGAAAGUCUACACUUCGAUCACAUCUUGAUUUGCUUCAUUUCCAAUCCACUAUGGUGGUGCAAAAUUCUGAAAAUUGUGUCACUGUCCAAAUACAUAUGGACCUGACUGUAUGCCUGAUUGUAUACAUGGAAAUGUAUAUUUGAGCAGCAGAUCAUCAAGAUGGCAAAUAAGAUGAGUGGAUGUGAAACACUGAUAACCUUGAUACCACUGAUAACCCAAGUGGAGUAAUGUAAGGAGCUAAUUGGUUGCAAUAAAUAUUACCCUGAAAAAAAACCAA